UCAAGAUAUUAAGGGCAUGCGGUGGAUGCCUUGGCGGUAGGAGCCGAGGAAGGACGUGGCAGGCUGCGAAAAGCUCCGGGUAGUCGCCGAGCAGACACAGAUCCGGAGAUUUCCGAAUGGGGAAACCCGGCACGGGUAAUGCCGUGUCAUCCUUGCUUGAACACAUAGGGCAAGGAGGGUAAGUGGGUGAACUGAAACAUCUAAGUAACCCGAGGAAAAGAAAGCAACCGCGAUUCCCUGAGUAGCGGCGAGCGAACGGGGAACAGCCCAAACCCGGGGGGUGCAUAAGCCCACAGGCGCUGCCCUCCGGGGGUUGCAGGAGCCACCAGGCGUCGCUGUGGAGGCGCCGGGGAGUUACAAAACUGUCCUUAAGUCAAACUGGGAUGGAAAGCCCGGCCAUAGAAGGUAACAGCCCUGUAGACGAAAAGGGUCAGUCUCCCGGUGGUUUUCCUGAGUACGGCGGGGCACGUGGAAUCCCGUCGGAAUCUGCGGGGACCACCCCGUAAGGCUAAAUACUCCCUACCGACCGAUAGUGGACCAGUACCGUGAGGGAAAGGUGAAAAGCACCCCGGGAGGGGAGUGAAAUAGCACCUGAAACCGCAUGCCUACAAGCAGUCAGAGGGAGCUUGUCUCCUGAUGGCGUGCUUCUUGUAGAAUGAACCGGCGAGUUACUGAUACGCAGCAAGGUUAAGGUUUACCGGAGCCGUAGCGAAAGCGAGUCCGAAAAGGGCGCUCGAGUUGCGUGUCGUAGACCCGAAACCGAGUGAGCUACCCAUGGGCAGGGUGAAGCGAGGGUAAGACCUCGUGGAGGCCCGAACCCACUUCGGUUGAAAACGGAGGGGAUGACCUGUGGGUAGGGGUGAAAGGCCAAUCAAACUCGGAAAUAGCUGGUUCUCCCCGAAAUAGCUUUAGGGCUAGCCUCAGGCGUUCAGUCAUGGUGGUAGAGCACUGAAUGAGCUAGGGGCCUUCACCGGUUACCAAACUCAAUCAAACUCCGAAUGCCAUGACUUUAGAGCCUGGGAGUAAGACUAUGGGGGAUAAGCUCCAUAGUCGAGAGGGAAACAGCCCAGACCGUCGGCUAAGGUCCCUAAAUGCGGGCUAAGUGGUAAAGGAUGUGGAAGCGCUGAGACAACCAGGAUGUUGGCUUAGAAGCAGCAAUCAUUUAAAGAGUGCGUAAUAGCUCACUGGUCAAGUGUUUCUGCGCCGAAAAUUAGCGGGGCUCAAGCCCGCUACCGAAGCCACGGAUCUCCCGGUGUCUAACAUCGGGGGAUGGUAGGGGAGCGUUCUCUAGGGAGUGAAGCUGCAACGCGAGUUGUGGUGGACUUUAGAGAAGUGAGAAUGCCGGUAUGAGUAGCGAAAGACGGGCGAGAAACCCGUCCGCCGAAUACCCAAGGUUUCCUGGGGAAGGUUAAUCCGCUCAGGGUUAGUCGGGACCUAAGGCGAGGCCGAAAGGCGUAGUCGAUGGACAACAGGUUUAUAUUCCUGUACCACCAGUCCACGCUUGAGCGAUGGGGUGACGGAGAAGGGUAGGUCAACCGCGGCGAUGGUCGACCGCGGACAAGCACGUAGGGGGUCGCGUAGGCAAAUCCGCGCGGCAUUCAACCCUGAGGUGUGAUGUCGAGCCGCUUUAGGCGAAGUGACUGACCCCAUGCUUCCAAGAAAAGCCUCUAGCGAGUGGCGCUGGUGCCCGUACCUAAACCGACACAGGUAGGUGGGUAGAGAAUACUAAGGCGAUCGGGCGAACCCUCGUUAAGGAACUCGGCAAAUUAGCCCCGUAACUUCGGGAGAAGGGGCGCCCCGGUAGGGUGGAGGAAUCCUUUUGGACUUCCAAAAGCCCGAGGGGGCCGCAGUGAACAGGCCCAAGCGACUGUUUACUAAAAACACAGCUCUCUGCGAAGUCGUAAGACGACGUAUAGGGGGUGACGCCUGCCCGGUGCCGGAAGGUUAAGGGGAGGGGUUAGCCGCCCUUCGGGGUGGCGAAGCUCUGAACCAAAGCCCCGGUGAACGGCGGCCGUAACUAUAACGGUCCUAAGGUAGCGAAAUUCCUUGUCGGGUAAGUUCCGACCUGCACGAAUGGCGUAACGACUUGGGCGCUGUCUCAACGAGGGACCCGGCGAAAUUGUAAUGCCCGUGAAGAUGCGGGCUACCCGCAACAGGACGGAAAGACCCCGUGAACCUUUACUGCAGCCUGAUAUUGGAUCUUGGUACAUCUUGUGCAGGAUAGGUGGGAGGCUGCGAAGCUGCGGCGCCAGCUGCAGCAGAGCCAUCCUUGGGAUACCACUCCUGGUGUGCUGGGGUCCUAACCGAGAACCGUGAAUCCGGUUCCGGGACAGUGUCUGGCGGGCAGUUUGACUGGGGCGGUCGCCUCCUAAAAAGUAACGGAGGCGCCCAAAGGUUCCCUCAGGCUGGUCGGCAAUCAGCUGGAGAGUGUAAGGGCAUAAGGGAGCUUGACUGCGAGACCUACAAGUCGAGCAGAUGCGAAAGCAGGGCCUAGUGAUCCAACGGUACUGAGUGGAAGGGCCGUCGCUCAACGGAUAAAAGGUACUCCGGGGAUAACAGGCUUAUCUCCCCCAAGAGUCCACAUCGACGGGGAGGUUUGGCACCUCGAUGUCGGCUCAUCGCAUCCUGGGGCUGGAGUAGGUCCCAAGGGUUGGGCUGUUCGCCCAUUAAAGCGGUACGCGAGCUGGGUUUAGAACGUCGUGAGACAGUUCGGUCCCUAUCCGUUGCGGGCGCAGGAGACUUGAGGGGAGUUGUCCCUAGUACGAGAGGACCGGGAUGAACAGACCCCUGGUGUGCCAGUUGUCAUGCCAAUGGCACUGCUGGUUAGCUACGUCUGGAAUGGAUAAGCGCUGAAAGCAUCUAAGCGCGAAGCCCACCCCAAGAUUAGGUCUCCCAUCCGGUUAACGGAGUAAGACCCCUCGCAGACUACGAGGUGGAUAGGCCGGAGGUGUAAGCGUGGCAACACGUUCAGCCGACCGGUACUAAUAGGUCGAGGUCUUGACCUG
rnacentral:rRNA from 1 species